UACGUAGGGUGCGAGCGUUAAUCGGAAUUACUGGGCGUAAAGCGUGCGCAGGCGGUUGUGCAAGACAGAUGUGAAAUCCCCGGGCUCAACCUGGGAAUUGCAUUUGUGACUGCACGGCUAGAGUGUGUCAGAGGGGGGGUAGAAUUCCACGUGUAGCAGUGAAAUGCGUAGAGAUGUGGAGGAACACCGAUGGCGAAGGCAGCCCCCCUGGGUCAAGAUUGACGCUCAUGCACGAAAGCGUGGGGAGCAAACAGG
rnacentral:rRNA from 1 species